rnacentral:lncRNA from 1 species
CAGGAACCUUCAAUUAAAAUACUUCUCUCAAUUGACACGGAGGGGUCAGCAGGCCACUACUUCCAAGUGAAGUCCAAUGGGAGCGUGGGCAGAAUUUUUCAGGUCAAGUCCCCAGCCAAGGACCUUGCAGGGAAGGGCCAACUCAGGAGCCACAGGAGGCACCCAGCCAAGAGGUCUCUCCACUCAUCCCUGGCACCAAGCCUCUGUACAGACGUAGGUAUAGAUUGUUCCAGACAAGCAUGGACCACCUUAAAUUACAGCUCCAUGGCUGUGGGCUCCAGAGCUGAGAGACUAAAAGACAUGCCAAUCUAGAACACUGUGGGCAAUGUGCACUGUUAACCUCCUUUUUGUAAAACACUAAAAAAACCAACCAACCAAACAAACCCGUAAUAUUUACAUAGUAAAUGUAGUUACUUACUAUUUGUUAAGCAUCAUACUAGGCAGUGGAAGAUUACGAGAGCACAGAACAGAGAACAGCAUAGACUUCAGAAUAAGACACACUUGCAAGUCUAAUCCCCAAUCUAACCUUUAUUUCCUCCUCUGUAAAGGGGAGUUAAUGGAGUUAAUGAGAGGAGUUAAUGAGAAAACGUAACUCAGAAGAGUGCCUAGCACACAAUAAUAACCACAUUAAGAGGCAACAUGUAGUGAAUGCUUACUAUGUACCAGACACUGUUUCUAAGCUCUUGACCAAGGUUAAUUCAACAAGUCUAUGAGGAAGGUCUACAUUUAUUAGUUUUAAGGCCUAUGAGAAAGGAUUUAUAUGCAUUUUUACAGAAGAAAAAACAGAUCCUGAGAUGUUAAGUAAUUUGCCCCAAACCAAACAGCUAGUAAGUGGCAUAGUGGGAUUUGAAAGCAGUACGUCAUAGAGAUUGAGAGCAAACUUUGGAACCAAACAGCCUGAGUUAAAUGCUUCAUAAAUAUUGUAUAACAAUACUUAUUAUAUACAUACAUUAUAUAUAAAUAUUGUAAUAGUUGUAAUAGUUCAAGAAUGCUAAUAAUCUUUAUUAUUUGCUAUUUAUAUAUUACCCCUCAUUUAAUUCUCUAUGCCAAAAAAAUAGUUCUCUAUGCCUAUUAAAUAGGAAUUAUCCCCAUUUACUUGAGGAAACAGGUUUGAGUGGCAACAGAGCCCUCUUUGCCCAAAUGCAUUCUGUGACCCACCCAGUGUUAGCUCCCUGUUAGAGUCCUACAAAGUUUGCAUUUAGCUAAUUUGAAAGCUAUUCCUCCUGCUGGGAAGGUCCUUCUGCCCUUCCUCUCUGCAAGAAUCCCACCCACUCUCCCCACAGACUAUUAUUUCUAUUUUAAUGACACAAAU